GAUGAACGCUAGCUACAGGCUUAACACAUGCAAGUCGAGGGGAAACGGCAUUGAGUGCUUGCACUCUUUGGACGUCGACCGGCGCACGGGUGAGUAACGCGUAUCCAACCUUCCCAUUACUGUGGGAUAACCUGCCGAAAGGCAGACUAAUACCGCAUAGUCUUCGAUGACGGCAUCAGAUUUGAAGUAAAGAUUUAUCGGUAAUGGAUGGGGAUGCGUCUGAUUAGCUUGUUGGCGGGGUAACGGCCCACCAAGGCUACGAUCAGUAGGGGUUCUGAGAGGAAGGUCCCCCACAUUGGAACUGAGACACGGUCCAAACUCCUACGGGAGGCAGCAGUGAGGAAUAUUGGUCAAUGGACGGAAGUCUGAACCAGCCAAGUGGCGUGCAGGAUGACGGCCCUAUGGGUUGUAAACUGCUUUUGGAUGGGGAUAAAGUUAGGGACGUGUCCCUAUUUGCAGGUACCAUACGAAUAAGGACCGGCUAAUUCCGUG
rnacentral:rRNA from 1 species